AAUAUAUUACAAAAUCCCGCGAUAGGACAGAUUAUCUCGCGAGAUAGUGGUCACGUCACGCGUUCUUCCGGAAGUUCACAUUCAAACACGAGGAGCGAUUACGAGGGAGUUUUGUCUAUAUAUUAUGCAAAAUCUACUGUUGGGAAAAGCAGAACCUCGUCCAAAUAAAAAUAAACAAACUGUUAAAGGCACUGUGUCCUACACAGACCCUCCAAAAUAUAACCACCCAAAACCCAAGUCAGUUGAAGAUCAACACAAACCAAAUAAAGAUGUUGCACAUUCUACAAACAAUAACAAAAGAUCAAGUUUUGUGUCAAACACACUUAGAUGAGGCGUGCCCGACCCCUGACUUUGUCUACCCUACAUUAAGUUGCACACUUCAUGACAGUAAACAUCGGUAUCAAGAUGGUGUGAUUGAUCUAUACCCUGGCCUAGAAUAAGCUGUGACACUAUGAGACGGUCACAUAAUGAACAGGCAUCUUACAGACAACCGAAAGAGGCAUACGUAUUCUCUACAAUCCCAAAUUCUGGAUUGACGCCCCAGUACCAGAGGGCACCCCAAUCCCAGAGAGCAUCCAUCUGAAAGCAGGUGAGGUAACACAACGAAAAAAUAACAGGAUGGAGACUACCUGAUUCUUCACCUAUGGCCUCAGCUUCAAAUGCAAGAAGCAAGAAAUGCUAUAUGACUGUGUAUUUUGCAUUAUGAAUGCAUUAUGAAUACAUCAAAGAUGUUGAUAACAAGUUGAUCUGCGUAAAUUGUGACAUAAAGAAUAUGUAUAUAUAUUUCCAGCUAUCUUUCUAUAACAUUAUUUCAAUUGUUUUCACAUGUAGGUCCAGCAACUGUCUGCGUUGGUGGAUAUUCUGUCAGAGACUGCGUGAACAAUGUUAUGAGCAGGAUUUAAUCUGUCACACAUUACUUGUCAGAAGUUUUAAUGUUCGUAGUGGUUCAAACAGUCAGCCAUACUGAAAACAAGAAAUCAAAACAUAAUUUCAGUAAUGAUGUCUAAUUGUCUUAUGGCAAAGUUCAAUAUGAGGGGUGGUGGACAUCUGGAAAAGAAGUCUUUUAAAGGCACACCUUUGUAUUAUGUUAUUCAAGAUGCUGUGAAGAGGUGGAGCCCAAAUGCCAGAGACUCAGAAAUAGAUGCAGCUAUGGCAGACCACCUCAAGCACGCUCCAGGAAGAGGGCUGGGGGUUGUGAAUACACUAAAUAAGCCAAACAGCUGUAAUGUGUAAAAGAGAGAGUUCACCCAAAAAUGAAAAUUGUUAUAAUUUUCUUACCCACAUGUUUCAAACCUGUAUACAUUUCUAUUUUCUGCUGAACACAAAGAUUGAAAAAUGUUUGUAACCAAGAUAACUGUCAAUAAUUUUUUUUUACAACUGUAGUAAUGGGUUGUGAGAUCUGCUUUCUGCUUUCUAUUCUUUCAAAUAUCUUUGUGUUCAGCAGAACAUAGAAAAGUAUACAGGUUUGAAACAUAAGAGAGAGUAAAUUACUAAAUAAUCAUUUUUAGGUGAACUAUCCUUUUAUAUAGUAAAGUAUUUUGAAAUUGUUAUUAUAGUUAAACAGUUUAAAAAAAAUAAAAAGUGCUAAAUCAGAACAUGCUUCUUUUUAUUGCUUAUGUCCACAAAUAAUGUGUUCUUUAAUGUGUUUGAAAUACACGUGAUUACAACGUUAUAAAGACGUUCAGGUUUGACUGGACUAAAUUUGUGUAUUUUUAAAACCUUAAUAAUUGCCUAUUACAAUUGUACAAACUAGCCUGUUUUAUAUGCACGUUUUAAGUGAGUAUAACGCCUAAAUUAAGCAGAGACUCAUAUUACCGUCCAGAAGACGACAUUUUUAGACGUGCACGGACCGUGCAGAAAAGACGUGUGAUUCACGGUCAGAUGACGUCAAAGACGUCGGUUGGAUUUUCAUUUUGGAACUAUUUUUCAACCAUGACGGGACGUGACGAACGGACGUCUUUUCAACGGUCAUCACACGUCCAAAUGUUU